ensembl:lncRNA
CACGUCUUAAAUGGAGGCCUAAUUAUGCUUUUCAAACCAGAUUUAAUCUGAGAUUAUCCCACAUAUUAUAUUCUGUUGUGAACAUUUUGUAGUUUGCCUUGAUGUUAAAAAGGCCCAUCCUCCGUCUAUUACUGGAACCUUCAAUAAAUAAGACGCACAUUCAGCACCAUCUGCUUUGUAGCAGAGAUGCACAGCAGUCAACAAUGAGGAAUUUUUGUGCUGGUCAAAUCCCUGGUGGGGCUCAUUUGCAGUUUUGGGAUUGCUUACUGCAAACCAAGCUUGCAUGAUCAGCACAACAGACCUGUAUGGAUUAAAUAACCUUUUCUGUCAUUAUUACAUUACAGGUCAUUUUGGCUGACACUUUUUUAUCCAAAGCGACUUACAUUACAUUAUCAACCCAUGGCUUUUUUGCCCGGGGAGGAAUUACGGGUUAGGUGUCUUGCUCCGUCACUGAUGAGGCUGAUCACCGUUGUGUCCUCUGAGAACAUCAGGGUUUUGACAGUUGGGUCCUCCGAUGUGUGGAGAGGUGUGCACGAUGAGCUGUGAAAUUUUAAAUAUGGUUUCCAGGUUUCCAGAAACCAAAUCCUUGCAUAUGUAUAUGGGAUGUGAGGUGAUGCAGCAUGUGGCACAGUCUCAUUUGGACUGCAUCACCCACCGACCUGUUUGCCCUGUAGGCAAACUGCAUGGGGCCCAGCAGGGGCCCUGUAAUGUUCUGCAGGUGAGCUGAAUGUCACCACGCACAUCAUUCUCCUUCAGUUUGAUGCUGCUUCUGUCACGGUUUUGGUUUGUUUCCGGUUUUAUUUUGUAGUUUUCUGCCUCUUGUGUCCCUGGGUUACUUCACUUCCUGCCUUGUCCUGUCAUCCCAUGUGAUUGUCUGCCGUGUCCCAGGUUGUUUUCACCUGCACCUCCCCAGUGUAUUUAAGCCCUGUGUGUCUUUCGUCCCUGGUCGCAUCAUUGAAUGUUCUACGUGAAUGUCUUGCCUGUUCCUGGUCCCUGUCGGCGUUUUGCCCCUCGGCAGUUAGAUUUUUUGAAUUAAUAAAGUAAGUUUUGUUGUCUGAAUUUGGGUCCUGCUUCUGCUUACCCUGUUCGUGACAGCUUCCUCCUAAUCACCAGUCUGCACCCUGAAUAAAUUAAAUCCUCGUUGGCCCGCACUGCAUGCUGGGAUAUGCUGGGACACAAAGGAUCGGCUCCUGGAGGACUGUGUCCAUCGACCGCGUUGGGGGGAGCCGACGCAUUGGGACAGGCGAGUCGCAGCUGAAGCGACGUAUGCGGUCGACGAAUGAGUCCUUAAGGAUGCGGCCUAGCAACUUUGAGACACAGCUAAUAACUCAACAAAGGUCAAAGCGGCUUAAAUACACUGGGAGGGUGCAGGUGAAUCGACACAAGAAAGAAACUAUCAGGGACACGGCAGACAAUCGCAGGACAAGGCAGGAAGUGAAGCUAACUCAGGGAUACAAAAGGCAGGAAACUAAAAAAUAACUUUGAGGAGUUGAAACCCGGGUAGCGCGUUGUCCGAGAUGUGCUCACUGAGCUAAGUUUCCAUGGAGCACAGGGGGGCGGAUCUGCUGAAGACUGUGAGCUUUGUUGAGGAGCAGAAGUUACUCCAUUUUGUUGGUCAUAGAGCGAACGUUAGCCAGAUGAAUUGAGGGGAGCGCAUUUCUGAAUCUACGUCAACGCAGUUUAACAAAGGCUCCGGAUCGUUUACCCCGUCAGUGUCUCUGGCAAAUCCCAAGCAGAGCAGCUUCUCACCCAACCAAAAGCUCUAUGAAACUUUUCGGUAUGAUGAAAUACGGUGAAAAAGUUUGACCAGUAUAUUGUUCAAUGUUCUUGCUGCGUCUUUCGGCGGGUACUGCCAGCUGAAUGUGAUCAGAGAGGGAGAGCUGGAUCAUUUUGGUGCUGUGUGCAAAAAUAUCUUUUUGCUUCUGCUGCUGUGGGUAGCUGGAAAAUAAUCAAAAAAGCAGCUUGGAUGAUACAAAAACAAAAAAAGGUCAGCAUAUUUAACUCAGACACAAACUUUUUUUCAUAUCAAAAUGUAUUUAAGAGAAUAAAAAAAACAAUAACUUAUCUGUGAUAGUUGCAUGUACGUCAAUAUGAAUCAAAAAGUCCAAAGGUUGGAUGGGCAUUGCCAGAUAUCAGACGUAGCUAUUGCCUGGUAAUGUCUUCCACUUCUGUAUGGCACUGGAAUAUGCUUUUACCUGACAAAUGACCACAGACCAGCGGAGCCACCUGAACCUGACACGCUUUCUGUGUAAAAAAAAGAAGUGAGGCCAGUUGGGAAGGGAAGGCUGUAGUCACUGCAAAGACGGUCACGGCCAUUCGUGAACCAAGCUUUAAGUGACGUUUGUGUGUGUGGUGUACGCUCCCCCCCCAAGAAUCCGCACCGUGACAGUGGCGGCCAACGUAGCGGGAGGACGACAAUGGAAGGCGACGAGCGGCAGCAGGGGAUACCGGCCCAGCCGAUCUUGGCGCUGGGAUGGAUGAUCGGCGAGCUGGCGGCCAUCCAGCGCGACCAGGCUGAGGCUAACCGACAGUUCCUGGGGGCGCUCCAAGCCCAGGUGGGGAGACAGGCUCUGGGUUUCGGUUUCGGCAGACUAGGUUGGAGCCAGAGGACCGGCCGUUCGCGUACGGGCAGCGGCUCAAGGACGCCGCGAGCAGAUGGCUGCUGGCUAACGGCGACGGGGGAGUGGAAGCCGUGAUGGAGAAGGUGGUGUUUGCGGUUUGCGGAGGGGCUCCCGACCCGGACGGCAGCGUGGGUGAAAUACCACCGCCCGCCGACCCUCAAGCUGCCAUCACCCUUGCAGAGGAUCACCUGGCGGUGCACCCCGACAGACAGCGGGACCAGGGGGGUACGCCAUCCCCGGCCCGACCAGCGCAACGGGGAGGGGGGCAGCAGCAGCCGGCGGAGCGACCCGUGCCGACCCCACGACGGACAUCGUUCCUCCCGGCUCCGCUACUCACCGACCCCAGAGAGCACCGACGCCCUUCCAGGUGGCCGGAGGUUCCAAAAGCAGGCCGGACCGACCUCAUAGUACACAGUAUCGAGACGCCCCCGGGCGUGACAGCGAGGUCACGACCCUACAGGUUGCCCGAACACAAGAAAGAAGUGGUUCGGAGAGAAUUGGUGAGUAUGUUGGAGUUGGGGGUAAUAGAAGAGUCCAACUGGUGCAGCCCCAUUGUCCUUGUGGCAAAGAAGGAUGGAUCUGUACGGUUCUGCGUGGACUAUCGCAGGGUUAAUGACGUGUCACGGUUCGAUGCCUACCCAAUGCCCCAGGUCGACGAGCUCCUGGACCGGCUAGGCACUGCACGUUUCUUCACGACACUGGAUUUAACCAAGGGCUACAGGCAGAUUCCUCUGUCGCCAGAGUCCAAGGAGAAAACGGCAUUCUCCACCCCGUACGAUGCAUUCCCCGGCCCCGAGGUGGCCCGAUGGCCGUCCUGCUCCACUCCGCUGAGAGCGUGCAUAACGACGAGGGAAAAGCGAGGGCAUGAUGCCAGGCCAGAAAUACCUCAAGAAACAAGAUGCAAACCUAGCAGCUGCUGCAGAGAAACUGAUUUAUUGUUAUUAAGUUCAAUAUCAUAAACCUUCCGUCAGAGACACACUGC